UCAAGUGAAGAAGCGCAUACGGUGGAUGCCUUGGCAGUCAGAGGCGAUGAAAGACGUGGUAGCCUGCGAUAAGCUUUGGGGAGUCGGCAAACAGACUGUGAUCCAGAGAUCUCUGAAUGGGGGAACCCAGCCAGCAUAAGCUGGUUAUCUUGUACUGAAUACAUAGGUGCAAGAGGCGAACCAGGGGAACUGAAACAUCUAAGUACCCUGAGGAAAAGAAAUCAACCGAGAUUCCCUUAGUAGUGGCGAGCGAACGGGGACCAGCCCUUAAGUUGGUUUGAGAUUAGUGGAACGCUCUGGAAAGUGCGGCCAUAGUGGGUGAUAGCCCCGUACACGAAAAUCUCUUAUCAAUGAAAUCGAGUAGGACGGAGCACGAGAAACUUUGUCUGAAUAUGGGGGGACCAUCCUCCAAGGCUAAAUACUACUGACUGACCGAUAGUGAACUAGUACCGUGAGGGAAAGGCGAAAAGAACCCCGGAGAGGGGAGUGAAAUAGAUCCUGAAACCGUAUGCGUACAAGCAGUGGGAGCCUACUUUGUUAGGUGACUGCGUACCUUUUGUAUAAUGGGUCAGCGACUUAUAUUCAGUGGCGAGCUUAACCGAAUAGGGGAGGCGUAGCGAAAGCGAGUCUUAAUAGGGCGUUUAGUCGCUGGGUAUAGACCCGAAACCGGGCGAUCUAUCCAUGGGCAGGUUGAAGGUUAGGUAACACUGACUGGAGGACCGAACCGACUACCGUUGAAAAGUUAGCGGAUGACCUGUGGAUCGGAGUGAAAGGCUAAUCAAGCUCGGAGAUAGCUGGUUCUCCUCGAAAGCUAUUUAGGUAGCGCCUCAUGUAUCACUGUAGGGGGUAGAGCACUGUUUCGGCUAGGGGGUCAUCCCGACUUACCAAACCGAUGCAAACUCCGAAUACCUACAAGUGCCGAGCAUGGGAGACACACGGCGGGUGCUAACGUCCGUCGUGAAAAGGGAAACAACCCAGACCGUCAGCUAAGGUCCCAAAGUCAUGGUUAAGUGGGAAACGAUGUGGGAAGGCUUAGACAGCUAGGAGGUUGGCUUAGAAGCAGCCACCCUUUAAAGAAAGCGUAAUAGCUCACUAGUCGAGUCGGCCUGCGCGGAAGAUGUAACGGGGCUCAAACCAUGCACCGAAGCUACGGGUAUCACGAGUGAAAAACUCGCACGCCGAAAGACCAAGGUUUCCUGCGCAACGUUAAUCGACGCAGGGUUAGUCGGUCCCUAAGGCGAGGCUGAAAAGCGUAGUCGAUGGAAAACAGGUUAAUAUUCCUGUACUUCCAGUUAUUGCGAUGGAGGGACGGAGAAGGUUAGGCCAGCCUGGCGUUGGUUGUCCAGGUUUAAGGUGGUAGGCUGGAAUCUUAGGCAAAUCCGGGAUUCUAAGGCCGAGAGCUGAUGACGAGUUGCCAGAAUACCAAGGCGCUUGAGAGAACUCGGGUGAAGGAACUAGGCAAAAUGGCACCGUAACUUCGGGAGAAGGUGCGCCGGCGAGGGUAGGGUGUGACGCCUGCCCGGUGCCGGAAGGUUAAUUGAUGGGGUUAGCGCAAGCGAAGCUCUUGAUCGAAGCCCCGGUAAACGGCGGCCGUAACUAUAACGGUCCUAAGGUAGCGAAAUUCCUUGUCGGGUAAGUUCCGACCUGCACGAAUGGCGUAACGAUGGCGGCGCUGUCUCCACCCGAGACUCAGUGAAAUUGAAAUCGCUGUGAAGAUGCAGUGUAUCCGCGGCUAGACGGAAAGACCCCGUGAACCUUUACUAUAGCUUUGCACUGGACUUUGAAUUUGCUUGUGUAGGAUAGGUGGGAGGCUUUGAAGUGGGGACGCCAGUUCUCAUGGAGCCAUCCUUGAAAUACCACCCUGGCAACUUUGAGGUUCUAACUCAGGUCCGUUAUCCGGAUCGAGGACAGUGUAUGGUGGGUAGUUUGACUGGGGCGGUCUCCUCCCAAAGAGUAACGGAGGAGUACGAAGGUGCGCUCAGACCGGUCGGAAAUCGGUCGUAGAGUAUAAAGGCAAAAGCGCGCUUGACUGCGAGACACACACGUCGAGCAGGUACGAAAGUAGGUCUUAGUGAUCCGGUGGUUCUGUAUGGAAGGGCCAUCGCUCAACGGAUAAAAGGUACUCCGGGGAUAACAGGCUGAUACCGCCCAAGAGUUCAUAUCGACGGCGGUGUUUGGCACCUCGAUGUCGGCUCAUCACAUCCUGGGGCUGAAGCCGGUCCCAAGGGUAUGGCUGUUCGCCAUUUAAAGUGGUACGCGAGCUGGGUUUAGAACGUCGUGAGACAGUUCGGUCCCUAUCUGCCGUGGACGUUUGAGAUUUGAGAGGGGCUGCUCCUAGUACGAGAGGACCGGAGUGGACGAACCUCUGGUGUUCCGGUUGUCACGCCAGUGGCAUUGCCGGGUAGCUAUGUUCGGAAGAGAUAACCGCUGAAAGCAUCUAAGCGGGAAACUUGCCUCAAGAUGAGAUCUCACUGGGAUCUUGAAUCCCCUAAAGGGCCGUCGAAGACUACGACGUUGAUAGGUUGGGUGUGUAAGCGCUGUGAGGCGUUGAGCUAACCAAUACUAAUUGCCCGUGAGGCUUGACCAU
rnacentral:rRNA from 1 species